rnacentral:rRNA from 1 species
AAAAGGUCAAGCGAACAAGAGCGCAGGGUGGAUGCCUUGGCACUAAGAGCCGAAGAAAGACGUGAUAAGCUGCGAUAAGCUACGGUGAGGAGCAAAUAUCCAUUGACCCGUAGAUUUCUGAAUGGGGAAACCCGGCAGGAGAAACUCCUGUCACUGUAUGGUGAAUACAUAGCCAUAUAGAGGGAACCCGGUGAACUGAAACAUCUAAGUAGCCGGAGGAAGAGAAAACAACAGUGAUUUCCUAAGUAGCGGCGAGCGAACGGGAAAGAGCCCAAACCGGAUUGCGUGCAAUCCGGGGUUCGGACUGCAUACGUCAUUGUAAGAGGAUAACAGAAUGGUUUUGGGAAAGCCAGCCAGAGAGGGUGAAAGCCCCGUACGUGAAAUCUGAUUACAGGCAGCAGGAUCCAGAGUACCACGAGACACGUGGAACCUUGUGGGAACAAGCGGGGACCACCCCGUAAGGCUAAAUACUCCUUAGUGACCGAUAGCGCAUAGUACUGUGAAGGAAAGGUGAAAAGAACCCCGGGAGGGGAGUGAAAGAGAACCUGAAACCCUGUGUUUACAAGCUGUGGAACCACCAUAUGAGUGGAACCGCGUACUUUUUGUAGAACGGUCCGGCGAGUUAUGGUUGCUGGCAAGGUUAAGGACGAAAAGUCCGGAGCCGAAGGGAAACCGAGUCUUAAUAGGGCGCCAAGUCAGCAGACAUAGACCCGAAACCGGGUGACCUACCCAUGUCCAGGUUGAAGCCGCUGUAAAAGGCGGUGGAGGACCGAACGCACAUCUGUUGAAAAAGGUGGCGAUGAGGUGUGGGUAGCGGAGAAAUUCCAAUCGAACUCGGAGAUAGCUGGUUCUCCCCGAAAUAGCUUUAGGGCUAGCCUUGAGUUAGACAUAUGGAGGUAGAGCACUGAAUGGCCGCGGGGGCGUCAAAGCUUACCAAAGCCUAUCAAACUCCGAAUGCCAUGUUGCCGAUGCUCAGGAGUCAGACUGCACGAGAUAAGUUGGGUAGUCGAGAGGGAAACAGCCCAGACCUACAGCUAAGGUCCCAAAGUACAUGUUAAGUGGAAAAGGAUGUGGGACUUCGAAGACAACUAGGAUGUUGGCUCAGAAGCAGCCAUACAUUCAAAGAGUGCGUAAUAGCUCACUAGUCGAGAGGUCCUGCGCCGAAAAUGUCCGGGGCUAAAACAUGACACCGAAGCUUAGGAACAGAAAUGUUGGUAGGGGAGCAUUGCUAAAGGAACGAAGCAGUACCGAAAGGAGCUGUGGACUUUUAGGAAGAGAGAAUGCCGGAAUGAGUAGCGAGAGUAAGGUGAGAAUCCUUACGGCCGAAUAUCUAAGGUUUCCAGAGUAAAGCUGAUCUGCUCUGGGUAAGUCGGGACCUAAGGCGAGGACGAAAGUCGUAGUCGAUGGAUAACAGGUGGAGAUUCCUGUACUCCGUAUAAACAGAACUGUGGGGACACGGGUGGAAAGCCUGACCCGGGAAUGGAAAGACCGGGACAAGCGAGGUACCUGAUAAGGAGGCAAAUCCCCUUAUCAAUGGGAAGACGUGAUGUGGAGCGAACCAAAGGGUAGCGAAGCAGGUGAGCCAGCCGUCGAGAAAAGCCGCUAUUGUUUUGUACGGACCCGUACCGUAAACCGACACAGGUGGAUGAGGAGAGAAUCCUAAGGCCGACGGGAGAAGCAUUGUUAAGGAACUCGGCAAAAUGACCCCGUAACUUCGGGAGAAGGGGUGCCUGAGGAAUCAGGCCGCAGAGAAUAGGUCCAAGCAACUGUUUAGCAAAAACACAGGUCUAUGCGAAACCGAAAGGUGAAGUAUAUGGGCUGACGCCUGCCCGGUGCUGGAAGGUUACGAGGAGUGCUUAGAGGCUUGCCUCGAAGGUGCGAAUUUAAGCCCCAGUAAACGGCGGCCGUAACUAUAACGGUCCUAAGGUAGCGAAAUUCCUUGUCGGGUAAGUUCCGACCCGCACGAAAGGCGUAAUGAUUUGGACGCUGUCUCGACAAUGCACCCGGUGAAAUUGAAAUACCAGUGAAGAUGCUGGUUACCCGCGCCAGGACGGAAAGACCCCAUGGAGCUUUACUCUAGUUUGAUACUGGGAUUCGGUACUGCAUGUACAGGAUAGGUGGGAGACUGUGAAUCUGUGACGCCAGUUGCAGAGGAGUCAAUGUUGGGAUACCACCCUUGUAGUAUUGGAUUUCUAACCAUCAGCCGUGAACCGGCUGGGGGACAAUGUCAGGCGGGGAGUUUGACUGGGGCGGUCGCCUCCGAAAGGGUAUCGGAGGCGCUCAAAGGUUCCCUCAGAAUGGUCGGAAACCAUUCGAAGAGUGCAAAGGCAGAAGGGAGCUUGACUGCGACACCGACGGGUGGAGCAGGUAGGAAACUAGGACUUAGUGAUCCGGUGGUAUGAAAGUGGGAUUGCCAUCGCUCAACGGAUAAAAGCUACCCUGGGGAUAACAGGCUUAUCACUCCCAAGAGUUCACAUCGACGGAGUGGUUUGGCACCUCGAUGUCGGCUCAUCGCAUCCUGGGGCUGUAGUAGGUCCCAAGGGUUGGGCUGUUCGCCCAUUAAAGCGGUACGCGAGCUGGGUUCAGAACGUCGUGAGACAGUUCGGUCCCUAUCCGGCGCGGGCGUAGGAUAUUUGAGAGGAGCUGCCCUUAGUACGAGAGGACCGGGGUGGACUGGCCUCUGGUGUACCGGUUGUAUUACCAAAUGCAUAGCCGGGUAGCCAAGCCGGGACGGGAUAAACGCUGAAGGCAUCUAAGCGUGAAGCCCCCCUCAAGAUAAGAUAUCCCUGACAAUAAGUCAAUAAGACCCCUUGAAGACGACGAGGUAGAUAGGUCCGAGGUGGAAGUGCAGUAAUGUAUGGAGCUGACGGAUACUAAUAGGUCGAAGGCUUGACCUUG